rnacentral:rRNA from 1 species
CCUACGGGUGGCUGCAGUGGGGAAUUUUGGACAAUGGGGGCAACCCUGAUCCAGCCAUGCCGCGUGCGGGAAGAAGGCCUUCGGGUUGUAAACCGCUUUUGUCAGGGAAGAAAUCUUCCGAGCUAAUACCUUGGGAGGAUGACGGUACCUGAAGAAUAAGCACCGGCUAACUACGUGCCAGCAGCCGCGGUAAUACGUAGGGGACAAGCGGUAAUCGAAAUUACUGGGCGUGAAGGGGCAGCAGGCGGGUGAAAUCCCCGGGCUUAACCUGGGCACUGCACUUGUGACUGUACGGCUGGAGUACGGCAGAGGGUGAUGGAAUUCCGCGUGUAGCAGUGAAAUGCGUAGAUAUGCGGAGGAACACCGAUGGCGAAGGCAGUCCCCUGGGCCUGUACUGACGCUCAUGCACGAAAGCGUGGGGAGCAAACAGGAUUAGAUACCCCUGUAGUC